rnacentral:rRNA from 1 species
UACAGAGGGUGCGAGCGUUAAUCGGAAUUACUGGGCGUAAAGGGCGCGUAGGCGGCCCGAUAAGUCGGAUGUGAAAGCCCUGGGCUUAACCUGGGAAUUGCAUUCGAUACUGUCGAGCUAGAGUAUGGUAGAGGUAAGCGGAAUUCCGGGUGUAGCGGUGAAAUGCGUAGAUAUCCGGAGGAACAUCAGUGGCGAAGGCGGCUUACUGGACCAAUACUGACGCUGAGGCGCGAAAGCGUGGGGAGCAAACAGGAUUAGAUACCCUGGUAGUCCACGCCCUAAACGAUGAGAACUAGCCGUUGGGGGCAUUUAAGCCCUUAGUGGCGCAGCUAACGCGUUAAGUUCUCCGCCUGG